AAUGAACGCUGGCGGCGUGCCUAACACAUGCAAGUCGGAUGUGCCCGCAAGGGUGCAUGGCAGACGGGUGAGUAACGCGUAGGGAACCUACCUCUUUGUGGGGAAUAACGUUCCGAAAGGAAUGGUAAUACCGCAUAAGACCAUCGGCUGGGAUGCUGGUGGUGAAAGCUGGGGAUCGAAAGACCUGGCGCGAGGAGAGGGUCCUGCGUCUGAUUAGCUAGUUGGCGGGGUAACGGCCCACCAAGGCGACGAUCAGUAGCCGGCCUGAGAGGGUGAUCGGCCACACUGGAACUGAGACACGGUCCAGACUCCUACGGGAGGCAGCAGUGGGGAAUUUUGCGCAAUGGGCGAAAGCCUGACGCAGCAACGCCGCGUGGGUGAUGAAGGUCUUCGGAUCGUAAAACCCUGUCGUCGGGGACGAAGGUAGGGAAGUUAAUAGCUUCUUUGCUUGACGGUACCCGGAGAGGAAGCCCCGGCUAACUCUGUGCCAGCCGCCGCGGUAACAC
rnacentral:rRNA from 1 species